rnacentral:lncRNA from 1 species
AUGAUGAUGCAUAUUUUACGUAUACUAUACUCUGAUUUACAAGAGAAAAAUAUAUGGCUGCUGAGUGAACUGCGGGGAAUUAAAGAGAGCUGCAUAGUCUCUACCCUCAUGUGCAGAUGCUCAAUCAAUCUUGACUGCAACUUCAGCUUUUCCAUCAAGAACGGAGCUCAGGUGUCUGAAACUAUGGAGUAAACAUUUCUGACUGUACCUAUGGAAACAGAAGAGCAAGGAGCUCCACUUCCACUUCUCUUCUCCCAGAGUUUCUUUUCAAAGCUCUUGCUGGGUUAGCAGUGAAAGGUCACAGAAAACUGAGCAGGCAUAAGGUACAAUCUCUUCCAAUGCAGUAGUGAUUCUUACUUCUAUUGGUGUUUUUGAGGUGUAUGAAACAUGUGUUGGGCUACACGUCAGCAUUUGUUGGCAGGGUUGUUUUUAAGAGCGUUCCCUGGUGCUUAUUGUAAUGUCCAUAGUUCUUGACUUCUCACUGGUAAUCUGUGAUGACUCUGCUUGGUGACACCUGCUCAGGAGUAAACAAAGAAAAUCUGUUGCCAGUAUGGUAUUUUCCACCAGCAAGAUGAUACCCUUUAGUGGUGAUGAUAGCUUUAAUACAAAAACAAUAAAGCUCACAUUGUAUGUUUAAUACUACUAGGU